AUAUUAUUGCCAGACCCUGGACAAGCGCUCCCAGGGAACACAUCUGCCCGGUGGAGUUCAAUCUUUGGAGACUUAAAGCGCUCACUCAAAUGCACUGAAUAAGAGGAAUGCUUCAGCUCCAAUCAGUUCCCAUCUUCUUUGGAAAUGCUGGCCUUGAGGCUCUACCUAAUAAUGGCAACCUGUGAUCCAGUUUGUGCUG